rnacentral:rRNA from 1 species
UAUUCUGGAAGAGAUGCAUCUAUUAGAUAAAAAACCAAUACAUACUUUUUCAAGUAUGAAAUUUGGUGAUUUACAAUAACUUAGCAAAUCGCAUAGUGAAAACAGGCGAUAAAUCAUUCAAGUUUCUGACCUAUCAGCUUUCGACGGUAUGGUAUUGGCUUACCGUGGCAGUGACGGUUAACGGGGGAUUAGGGUUCGAUUCCGGAGAGGGAGCCUGAGAAACGGCUACCACAUCUAAGGAAGGCAGCAGGCGCGCAAAUUACCCAAUUCUAACAGCAUAAGAGAGGUAGUGACAAGAAAUAACAAUACAAGGCAGUUAAAAUGCUUUGUAAUUGGAAUGAUAGAAAUUUAAACACUUUUUAAAGUAUCAAUUGGAGGGCAAGUCUGGUGCCAGCAGCCGCGGUAAUUCCAGCUCCAAUAGCGUAUAUUAAAAUUGUUGCAGUUAAAAAGCUCGUAGUUGAAUUUCUGUUAAAAAUAACCGGUCUGCUUUUAAUAAAAGUGGUAUCUUGGUGUGUUUUUAGCAAUAAUGUCCUUUGAAAUGUUUUUUACUUUAUUGUAAUAAAUAAUAUUCAGGAUUUUUACUUUGAGAAAAUUAGAGUGUUUCUAGCAGGCUAACGCUUUGAAUACUGCAGCAUGGAAUAAUAAAAUAGGAUUUUAGUUCUACAUUAUUGGUUUUAAGAACUAAAUUAAUGAUUGAUAGGGACAGUUGGGGGCAUUUGUAUUUAACUGUCAGAGGUGAAAUUCUUAGAUUUGUUAAAGACAAACUACUGCGAAAGCAUUUGCCAAAGAUGUUUUCAUUAAUCAAGAAC